GACGAACGCUGGCGGCGUGCUUAACACAUGCAAGUCGAACGCUGAAGCUUGGUGCUUGCACUGGGUGGAUGAGUGGCGAACGGGUGAGUAAUACGUGAGUAACCUGCCCUUGACUCUGGGAUAAGCCUGGGAAACUGGGUCUAAUACUGGAUACGACAUGUCACCGCAUGGUGGUGUGUGGAAAGGGUUUUACUGGUUUUGGAUGGGCUCACGGCCUAUCAGCUUGUUGGUGGGGUAAUGGCUCACCAAGGCGACGACGGGUAGCCGGCCUGAGAGGGUGACCGGCCACACUGGGACUGAGACACGGCCCAGACUCCUACGGGAGGCAGCAGUGGGGAAUAUUGCACAAUGGGCGGAAGCCUGAUGCAGCGACGCCGCGUGAGGGAUGACGGCCUUCGGGUUGUAAACCUCUUUCAGCACGGAAGAAGCGAAAGUGACGGUACGCGCAGAAGAAGCGCCGGCUAACUACGUG
rnacentral:rRNA from 1 species